CAAUACAAGGAUGCGAUUCUAAAUACAGCGGGAAUUCAAGCGGCCUUUCUUCUUGCUAUUUAUACACUUGUACAUCACACUGCUAUGGCACCGAGCUAGGUUGGUACUUCAAUUGGUUCCUGGGCGCCUGCCACAAGAGUGACGAAACACACUGUGGUGUUGGUGAAAAUCAAUUUUCAAGUUGCGAGGAGUGCAACCAACAGUGCCAUGUUAGCGUAUGCGUUGAUGACCUGCCAACCAAGCCUCCAGCAGAAGUACCGAAAGUUCCCAUUAUGGGACGCUGACAUCUUUCUGCGGUAAUAAAACAUCAAUUUU